rnacentral:lncRNA from 1 species
GCACCAUCACCACACCGAAUCAUCUCUCCACUUUCUUCUUCAACCUUCUAUACUCUAAACAAAACCUCCAUUACAGACCUCCUCCAACUAUACAAUCUUCAACACUUUCCGCAAAUCACCACACAACCUCAUCUUCAAUGACGUCACCCGAAACUCCACCACCAGCAAUCACCGUCCAACCCGCCUCCCCUCGCUUCCCAAAAUCCACCCAUUAACCGCCGGAACUCACCGGAAAAUCGCCAUCACCGUCGAUCUAAGCGACGAGAGCGCCUACGCCGUCAACUGGGCGGUACAAAACUACCUCCGGCCAGGAGACUCCGUCAUCUUCAUCCACGUCCGCCCUACCUCCGUCCUCUACGGCGCCGAUGAACCACCGACCACUGGACCCCUAACCGAAGAACAUGGAACCAAUACAACGCUUGAAGAUUCGAAAGUGUGACUGAAAACGCUGUAAGUAUAGGAUCGAGCAACGAUCCGUUAACAAUUCGUUCAGAUCUGCAUCUUGUUUGUGUAGAUUGCGUUUUAUUGUGAGCUUUGAUAGUGAGAGCAGAAAUGAAAUGGGAUCUUCAGAUCCGCAUCUUGUUUGUGAAGAUUGCAGUCUAAAGUUUGCUUGUGAGCUUUGAUUGUGAGAACAAAAGUGAAAUAGGAUCCCUUAUAAAAAAUCACAAAUCCAGAUUAUUUGUGUAGAUUGUGUUUUGUUUGUGCAUCUUGUUUGUACACCUUAUAAUAACCCCUAAAUUUAUAAGAGAUCCCUUUCCACAUCAUCAUGCCACAUGGGAUAUAGUGACACAUCAUCGGCACAUAAUCAACUCCAACUCAUCAAAUUUGUGCAACGUCGGAUAAAUAACAAACCCAGUUAGUGAAGAUUUAACUGGGUGGUGCCAACACAAACAAAAAGUCAAGUUGGGGGUGUCGGGUGUCAAAGUGUUAAUUGUGGGUGACAACGGCCAAAGAUCAAUAGUUGGGGGUGAUAAAAUCCAAUAACCCUUAAUUAAAAUGAGAUUCCUUAGAUGUGUCUAUUCACUUGAAACCAAGCUAGAUGUGACCUCUUUAAGUCAUAUAUAUAUCUCACAGAUGGAUGAAGCAAAGGAAAUUUGUUAAAGUGGUAGUCAUGAGUAAGAAAUCUACAUUCUUUUUAAGAUCUUGGUACUUAUAUUAUUCAGUUUGAUUUUCGGUAUUAGUUUGACGAACCAUGUUAUAUUCUUCUGCAAGUAUUACUUCUUAACCGUACACUUUCAACUAUUUGUAAGAUCAUAUGUAAUGGUUUAACGUCUUUAUCUACAUCAACCCAAUUGUG